UACGGAGGGUGCGAGCGUUGUCCGGAAUCACUGGGCGUAAAGGGCGCGUAGGCGGCCUGGCAAGUCGAUGGUGAAAGCCCGAGGCUCAACUUCGGGUCGGCCACUGAUACUGCUGGGCUUGAGUCGACUAGAGGCAGAUGGAAUUCCGGGUGUAGCGGUGGAAUGCGUAGAGAUCGGAAAGAACACCAACGGCGAAAGCACUCUGCUGGGCCGACACUGACACUGAGAGACGAAAGCUAGGGGAGCGAAUGGG
rnacentral:rRNA from 1 species